AGUGAACGCUGGCGGUAGGCCUAACACAUGCAAGUCGAACGGCAGCACAGUAAGAGCUUGCUCUUACGGGUGGCGAGUGGCGGACGGGUGAGGAAUACAUCGGAAUCUACUUUUUCGUGGGGGAUAACGUAGGGAAACUUACGCUAAUACCGCAUACGACCUACGGGUGAAAGCAGGGGAUCUUCGGACCUUGCGCGAUUGAAUGAGCCGAUGUGGGAUUAGCUGGUUGGCGGGGUAAAGGCCCACCAAGGCGAGGAUCCGUAGCUGGUCUGGGAGGAUGGUCAGCGACACUGGAAGUGAGACACGGUCAUGACUCCUGAGGGACGCAGCAGUGGGCAACAGUGGACAGUGGGCGCAAGUAUGAUACAGUGAGCGCGCGUGGGAGAAGAAGGCGUCCCGGUCGUAAUGACGUUCUUUGGGGAAAGAAAAGCAGCAGGUUAAGACCCAGCUGUUCUGACGGUACUGAAUGAAGAAGCACCGGCUAACUACGUG
rnacentral:rRNA from 1 species